ACAAAAAAAGCAGAAAAAUAUAGUAGAUCAAUUAUUAAUUUCUGCAUCAUGAAAUCUGUUACUUUGGUUGUGGUGUCUUGUGUUCUUGUGUUUUUCAUGAUGCAUAAUGCUAAAGUGGAGGCAGCACGAGCACCUUUUAUUGAAGUAUUCAUUCCAGGAAGAUCAUGUUAUCGUGAUUAUCGUUAUGCUGCUUUUCAAUGCGAACAGGAAGUUCGAGAUAAAUCUUAUUCUACUUGCAAUUGUAGAGAUGUACCAGGUGGACAUUAUUGUUCAUGUUUUCCUUGAAAUUUUUUACUUUAUAUGAUUUAUGUAUUAUCUAAAAACAAAAUUAAAUUAAUAAAAUUUAUAUAUUAA